rnacentral:misc_RNA from 1 species
AACGGUCUAUACCUGCGGUACCUGCGGAGGGAUCAUUAUCAAUUUACAGCGGACUUCGGUCCUGUCUGCACCCUUGUCUUUUGCGUACUAUAUGUUUCCUCGGUGGGCUUGCCUGCCGAUAGGACACUUAUAAACUCCUUUGUAAUUGCAAUCAGCGUCAGAAAACUAUAAUAGUUACAACUUUCAACAACGGAUCUCU